GGAAAGCAGAGAAUAUGUAGCAAGACUGUGUAGUCACGCUGGAGGAUGAACUCGACAAACUUGGGUCAAUGGACCAGAAAAUGUGCUGCAAUAUGCCACCAGAACCAGUGUCUUGUCACUCAGUGUACAACAUGGAUGCAACCCCUAUCUGAUGAUAACCAUCUGCCAAGUAAAAAUGAGAGAGAUAGUCUACCAGAUACAAGGAGAUAACAGUAUUCUUGAAGUCAUCUUCUGCUAGAGGGAGUGUCCCGGAAGGGCCACUUCCAUUGACGAGUGGAUACCAUGCGCGACCAUGGGGUCUC